AAGCCGUUUCAGAACAUUUUGCUCUUCAUAUUUGAGUUUGCCAUGCUUGAAUAUGCCGUGAAUAUGAAGGUGGAAUAUGGGGGAGAGCAGAAGUGCGUUGAAGUUCCACAAAGUGAUGAAUGAAGGACGUGCAUAUUGUAUUGAAGAAAUAAGUGAUGAGAAUGCUGUUAUUUAUUUGCAUUUACCAGCUCACCUAUGUCAGACCUUUUGAUAAACAAAAUUCUAAUGAAAGUGAGAACAUGUACAUUGUUACAUCUUUCAGAAAAUGUUUUGCAAUUGUGGUGCACAGUUCAGAAUAAAUGUUUUUUAAAACCA